rnacentral:rRNA from 1 species
UACGUAGGGUGCAAGCGUUGUCCGGAAUUAUUGGGCGUAAAGAGCUCGUAGGCGGUUAGUCGCGUCUGCUGUGAAAACUCGGGGCUUAACUCCGGGCCUGCAGUGGGUACGGGCUGACUAGAGUGCGGUAGGGGAGACUGGAAUUCCUGGUGUAGCGGUGAAAUGCGCAGAUAUCAGGAGGAACACCGGUGGCGAAGGCGGCAUCCUGGACCGGCAUGACGCUGAGGAGCGAAAAGCCAGGGAAGCAAAACGGG